rnacentral:rRNA from 1 species
AUGCCGCCGGCCGCCGCGCCGUGGUCGUGGGCGUGCUGCGGCCGCCGGAGGAAGAGCGCCGGGGGCGGUGCGGGGGACGGCGACGGCGCCGGCGCGUCGGGGCGGGAGGGGGACCAGUGGACGCUCUUCAUCGACCUGCCCGUGCUGGAGGCCGCCACCGCCGGCUUCUCCGACGGCAACCUGCUCGGCCGCGGCGGCUUCGGCCCCGUCUACAAGGGCGUGAUGGAGGGCGGGCAGGAGAUCGCGGUGAAGCGGCUGUCGCUGGAGUCGCGGCAGGGGGUGCGGGAGUUCCUCAACGAGGUGCGGCUGCUGCUCAAGGUGCAGCACCGCAACCUCGUCUCCCUCCUCGGCUGCUGCGCCGCCGCCGGCCAGAAGAUGCUCGUCUACCCCUACUUCCCCAACGGCAGCCUCGACCACAUCCUCUUCGACAGGGAGAAGAGGGUGCAGCUAGACUGGCCAAAACGGUACCAAAUAAUCCUCGGACUAGCAAGGGGCCUCCUGUACCUCCACGAAGAGUCUCCGGUGAAGAUCAUCCACAGAGACAUCAAGGCGAGCAACGUGCUCCUCGACGAGAAGCUGAACCCGAAGAUCUCGGAUUUCGGCAUGGCGAGGCUCUUCCUCGAAGACGCCACGCACGUGAACACAUUCAGGAUCUCUGGCACGUAUGGUUAUAUGGCUCCAGAGUACGCGAUGAACGGGUACCUGUCGACCAAGACCGACGUUUUCAGCUUCGGGAUGCUCGUGCUGGAGAUCGUCAGCGGGAGGAAGAACAUCGACCGGCAUCUCGGCGACGAAAAAGUCGACCUGUUGAAUUACACAUGGAAACUGUCAGAGGAAGGGCGGUCACUGGAGAUCGUGGACCCGGGCCUGUCCGGGUGGGACGCCGGCGAGGUGGCGAUGUGCGUCCAGCUCGGGCUGCUGUGCUGCCAGGCCGUCGUGUCGGACCGGCCGGACAUGUACAGCGUGCACCUCAUGCUGUCCAGCGACUCCUUCACGCUGCCCAAGCCCGGGAAGCCGGCGGUCCACGGCCGGGUCGGCCGGUGGAAGAGCACCGCCGGCUCGGCGUCCAGCUCCGCCUCCGGCGCGAACACGAACAGCACUUUCGCCACCGACACGACCAAGGCCUCGACGCUGGGAAACAUUGCUGAAGAUGAAUCCAGGAACUCCAUUUCCAUAUCCUUCACCACUGAAGGCCGGUAA